rnacentral:piRNA from 1 species
GUGUUGGUUCGUGUUCACCUCCUC